UAAGCCUGUGAAGGUGUGUCGUGAGGCAUGCUGGAGGUAUCAGAAGUGCGAAUGCUGACAUAAGUAACGAUAAAGCGGGUGAAAAGCCCGCUCGCCGGAAGACCAAGGGUUCCUGUCCAACGUUAAUCGGGGCAGGGUGAGUCGACCCCUAAGGCGAGGCCGAAAGGCGUAGUCGAUGGGAAACGGGUUAAUAUUCCCGUACUUGGUGUUACUGCGAAGGGGGGACGGAGAAGGCUAUGUUGGCCGGGCGACGGUUGUCCCGGUUUAAGCGUGUAGGUGUGUGUUCCAGGUAAAUCCGGUUCACUUUAACACUGAGGCGUGACGACGAGGCACUACGGUGCUGAAGCAACAAAUGCCCUGCUUCCAGGAAAAGCCUCUAAGCAUCAGGUAACAUCAAAUCGUACCCCAAACCGACACAGGUGGUCAGGUAGAGAAUACCAAGGCGCUUGAGAGAACUCGGGUGAAGGAACUAGGCAAAAUGGUGCCGUAACUUCGGGAGAAGGCACGCUGACACGUAGGUGAAGUGAUUUACUCAUGGAGCUGAAGUCAGUCGAAGAUACCAGCUGGCUGCAACUGUUUAUUAAAAACACAGCACUGUGCAAACACGAAAGUGGACGUAUACGGUGUGACGCCUGCCCGGUGCCGGAAGGUUAAUUGAUGGGGUCAGCGCAAGCGAAGCUCCUGAUCGAAGCCCCGGUAAACGGCGGCCGUAACUAUAACGGUCCUAAGGUAGCGAAAUUCCUUGUCGGGUAAGUUCCGACCUGCACGAAUGGCGUAAUGAUGGCCAGGCUGUCUCCACCCGAGACUCAGUGAAAUUGAACUCGCUGUGAAGAUGCAGUGUACCCGCGGCAAGACGGAAAGACCCCGUGAACCUUUACUAUAGCUUGACACUGAACAUUGAGCCUUGAUGUGUAGGAUAGGUGGGAGGCUUUGAAGUGUGGACGCCAGUCUGCAUGGAGCCGACCUUGAAAUACCACCCUUUAAUGUUUGAUGUUCUAACGUGGACCCGUGAUCCGGGUUGCGGACAGUGUCUGGUGGGUAGUUUGACUGGGGCGGUCUCCUCCUAAAGAGUAACGGAGGAGCACGAAGGUUGGCUAAUCCUGGUCGGACAUCAGGAGGUUAGUGCAAUGGCAUAAGCCAGCUUGACUGCGAGCGUGACGGCGCGAGCAGGUGCGAAAGCAGGUCAUAGUGAUCCGGUGGUUCUGAAUGGAAGGGCCAUCGCUCAACGGAUAAAAGGUACUCCGGGGAUAACAGGCUGAUACCGCCCAAGAGUUCAUAUCGACGGCG
rnacentral:rRNA from 1 species